GCGUCAGGGGUGCCAUUCGGCUGAGACAGACCCGGUCUGAACCCUUAACCUGAUCCGGACAAUGCCGGCGUAGGGAGACGGAAA
rnacentral:ncRNA from 1 species